GUGCUAAACUGAUUGUGGAAUUGCAAAAUAUAAAGGAAAUGCUUUCCAAAAAUUGGUUCCUGCAAAGUUUGCAUCAAACAUUUUUGAAAUGCAGUCUGCAGCCAUUCAGUCUGCUCAAGCCUCUGCUUCCCUAAUCCGGCUAAGAAAAAGCCUAAAUCAUGGGUAUUGUCUUACGCAGGCUCUGUAUAUAUGUGGACAGUCUCUCUUCGGCUAGUAAAGAUGGUAACCUGUAAGUACUAGCCUCCAUGGGAAAAUAUUUAUUCCUCAUGUUACUGGGCUUGACUUCAAUGUCUGGUACGGCUGCAGGCCUCUUGAUCGUGGGACAUAUCCACCAUAGUCAUUUUGUACCCUGCACUGCCCCAUAUAUGGGAUUAAAU